rnacentral:rRNA from 1 species
UGGGGAAUUUUGGACAAUGGGCGAAAGCCUGAUCCAGCCAUGCCGCGUGCAGGAUGAAGGCCUUCGGGUUGUAAACUGCUUUUGUACGGAACGAAAAGCCUCUUUCUAAUAAAGAGAGGUCAUGACGGUACCGUAAGAAUAAGCACCGGCUAACUACGUG